rnacentral:tRNA from 1 species
UUAGCGGAAUCCAAAAUUAGAGGAAUAUCACUGUUAAUGAUAAUAUUGAACAUAAAUAGAUUCUCGUUAA